UACGUAGGGGGCUAGCGUUGUCCGGAAUCAUUGGGCGUAAAGCGCGUGUAGGCGGUCCGGUAAGUCCGCUGUGAAAGUCGAGGGCUCAACCCUCGAAUGCCGGUGGAUACUGUCGGGCUUGAGUACGGGAGAGGCGAGUGGAAUUCCUGGUGUAGCGGUGAAAUGCGCAGAUAUCAGGAGGAAUACCGAUGGCGAAGGCAGGUCUCUGGGCUAGAACUGACGUCAUGCACGAAAAGCGUGGGGGAGCAAACAGG
rnacentral:rRNA from 1 species